rnacentral:rRNA from 1 species
UACGUAGGGGGCAAGCGUUGUCCGGAUUUAUUGGGCGUAAAGAGCGUGUAGGCGGCCAUGCAGGUCCGUUGUGAAAACUCGAGGCUCAACCUCGAGACGCCGGUGGAAACCGCGUGGCUAGAGUCCGGAAGAGGAGAGUGGAAUUCCUGGUGUAGCGGUGAAAUGCGCAGAUAUCAGGAAGAACACCCGUGGCGAAGGCGGCUCUCUGGGACGUGACUGACGCUGAGACGCGAAAGCGUGGGGAGCAAACAGG